UACAGAGGUCUCAAGCGUUGUUCGGAUUCAUUGGGCGUAAAGGGUGCGUAGGUGGCGCGCUAAGUCAGGUGUGAAAUUUCGGAGCUUAACUCCGAAACUGCAUUUGAUACUGGCGUGCUUGAGGACUGGAGAGGAGACUGGAAUUCAUGGUGUAGCAGUGAAAUGCGUAGAGAUCAUGAGGAAGACCAGUGGCGAAGGCGGCGAUCUGGGUCGAUACUGACGCUGAGGUGCGAAAGCGUGGGGAGCAAACAGG
rnacentral:rRNA from 1 species